rnacentral:rRNA from 1 species
AUUCUAGCUGAAAUCUCUCAAACCGAGUUAAUAAAAGUUACAUCCUCUAAACUUAAAGGAUUUGGCGGUAACUUAGUCCAGUCAGAGGAACCUGUGUGUUAAACGAUAAUCCACGAAAAAUCUUACCUAUUUUCCUGUUUGUAUACCGUCAUUAUUAGAUGACUUUCAAAGAAAAAGUCAUUACAAUAAUUCUCUUUAGUAUAUUAGAUCAAGGUGCAGCCAAUAUUUAGGUCCAUCAUGGGUUACAUUAAAAUUUAUUUAUUACGUAUUUGGAAUUUAAACAUUCCAACCAAGGAGGAUUUGAUUGUAAUUUUAGUUUAAUAAGCUACCUUGAUAAAGGAUCUAAAUUAUGUACAUAUCGCCCGUCACUUUCACUCUCUAGAUGAAAUAAGUCGUAACAUAG